CGUCAGAUGUAUAAGUUAUGUUAUUUAACAAAUGUAUAAAAAAUCUUGGUAGAGAUUUCGAGAACUUUCCAAGAGUGAAAAAGAUGACCGGUUUAGAAAAUUUAAGGAAAAGUAUAUGUGGGAAGUAGUUAACGAGGCUAUGAUUAAAAAAAAAUUGGGACAAAACAACAAUCCAACUUUCAAACAUGUUAUAUCGUGUUAGACGUGGUUGGGAAGAGCUAAGUAUUCAUCCUAACUGGAUAGACAAAGAAGUUUUUGAUGAACUUCUUGUCUAUUGGGAUUCACCUAGUUUUAAGGCAAGAUCUAAAAUUGCAAAGAAAAUGAGAGCAUCUGAAAAGGUUGUCACCUCAAUGCAGUUGAAAGCAUUAGUAUCAUCGAACAUGCUCGACGCGUGACUAAGGAUUUGGGGAGACCGCCACGAAUGAAUGAGCUGGUUGAAAAAACUCGUACCAAAAAACGGGGGAUUUUGUUGACAAAUGUACUAUAGCUUUGGUAAGUUGUUAUUAUUUUAUUUAAAUUAACUCCUAUAUAUGAAUAAAUU